rnacentral:rRNA from 1 species
AGCAGCCGCGGUAAUUCCAGCUCCAAUAGCGUAUAUUAAAGUUGCUGCAGUUAAAAAGCUCGUAGUUGAAUUUCGGGACCAUCAUGUCGGUCGUGCCUCGGUACGUACUAGCAUUAUUGGUUUCUCCCUUCUGACGAACCACGAUGUCAUUAAUUUGGUGUCAUGGGAAAUCAGGACUGUUACUUUGAAAAAAUUAGAGUGUUUAAAGCAAGCUCGCGCUUGAAUACAUUAGCAUGGAAUAAUGAAAUAGGACGUUUGAUUCUAUUUUGUUGGUUUCUAGGAUCGACGUAAUGAUUAAUAGGGAUAGUUGGGGGCAUUAGUAUUCAAUUGUCAGAGGUGAAAUUCUUGGAUUUAUUGAAGACUAACUACUGCGAAAGCAUUUGCCAAGGAUGUUUUCAUUAAUCAAGAACGAAAGUUAGGGGAUCGAAGACGAUCAGAUACCGUCGUAGUCUUAACCAUAAACUAUGCCGACUAGGGAUCGGAUGAUGUUAAUUUUUAAUGA